AGCGAACGCUGGCGGCAGGCUUAACACAUGCAAGUCGAACGCCCCGCAAGGGGAGUGGCAGACGGGUGAGUAACACGUGGGAACGUACCCUUUGGUUCGGAAUAACUUGGGGAAACUCAAGCUAAUACCGGAUAAGCCCUUAUGGGGAAAGGUUUACUGCCGAAGGAUCGGCCCGCGUCUGAUUAGCUAGUUGGUGAGGUAAUGGCUCACCAAGGCGACGAUCAGUAGCUGGUAUGAGAGGAUGAUCAGCCACACUGGGACUGAGACACGGCCAAGACUCCUACGGGAGGCAGCAGUGGGGAAUAUUGGACAAUGGGGGCAACCCUGAUCCAGCCAUGCCGCGUGAGUGAUGAAGGCCUUAGGGUUGUAAAGCUCUUUUACCCGGGACGAUAAUGACUGUACCGGGAGAAUAAGCCCCGGCUAACUUCGUGCCAGCCGCCGCAGUAA
rnacentral:rRNA from 1 species